rnacentral:lncRNA from 1 species
CGAAAAGCUAUUAAGGGUAUUUGUUAGUGUAGCAAGCUGGAAACCAGCAGAAUAUUUUAGAAUGUGUUAUUUUUUUGAAGUUCUAGUCUGUGUGUUUUGGUGUGGACUGCCCGUGGCGGUUCAGUUCGAGCUAUGAGGUGCUCAUGGUCUAUUUGGCACAUUGAGUAUGUGUUUGGGCUCAUGCUAGCCCAAUCAUCAAUAUAAAUCAACAAUUUUUAUAUUCCAGGACUCAUCCAAAUGCUCUUCCAUAGACUGUAGCUGCAUCCUGUCAUUGAGGGUCCCCUUCGAAGCACAGAAGAAAUGCAUACUUGAGAUUUCACUGUUUGGUGUACAAGCAAUUCAUGUUUUUCUUCAGUUGCAGUUAAAAUAGUUUUUUUAAAAGCUUAACACUAUUAGGUUUUUCUUGUGUAAAAAGUAUCUUUGAUAUGGUUGCAGCUUUUUUUCUCAGACUAGGGAGAAAAAAAUCCAAUUUUCGGUCACCAGAAGAUGGCGCUGUGCGGCGCGAUUUGAAAAGUCCGUCCCAGACCAGCCAGAAACACUCAGGAAGUACAUAAUAAUGGUGUACAUGACUUGCUUUUCCCGCUUAAAAUAGAAAGCACCAAUUUAUUCCUACUCUCAAGAAGAUUCAAGAAAUCUUCUGUGACAUAUUAUAAAUUUUAAUGGAGACUGAUUGCUCCGAGUUUGCUUCCAAUCUUUGUCAUGUGGCUCCUGCAAUAUGUAUUUGAGCCAGCUCAUAUGUAUGAGGUGCAAUAUGGCUAUGGAUGCUGAGGAACUGGCUUCACGAAGAGGAGAUAGCAAGUGCUAUCCAAGGCAGCAGGACAGAUCAGUCUACAGAAUGGUGCUCUCACCAGUGUCUGAGGUAGUCAACAGAACUGAAUUACUGGGUAUAUAUUUUUCCUACAAUGAGCUUUCUUCUUGUUUUGUGCAGUGA